rnacentral:lncRNA from 1 species
CUUUUUCUCCAUGUAUUCUCUUCCUUUUAUAUUCCUUUGAUGAUUUCUUCGUAACAAACCGCUUGGAAACUGAUUGAUUGCUGUAUAACUACCCACUUUCUUUAUAAUGGCUAACUUGUCGUGGAACUGCCGUCCCUAACUGCUGCCAUUACUCUUUGUCGUUCAACCGCCUUCAACUGGGCUCCUUAAAUCAUGGAAUGUGAUAAGAUCACUCAAUAACUGCUUCAAUAACUGUUAUUCUGGAUAACCAUAAUGUUUUAUGCUUGCUGAGACCCUGGGCGAUUCGAAGGUUUGGACGAGAAUGGGGUCAUCGCUCUGAGCGACCGUAAGGUAUUCUAUUCGUUCAGAUUUUGGGCGUCUUGCAAGUUUAGACAAUGAUGUUACCGUGUUCGUGGGCUUCCACCGCAUUCAUCAAUAAUCCUGUUUGGACUUUUAUCCUGAAUUCUCCAAUUGAGCUUCACUCUUUGGGCUAUUAGAUUUGGGCUACACUUUUAGUGUAUCAACAAACACCAUUGUGCCACUAACAAGCGUAUUGGUUGGUCAUGUUGAAGAGCUGGUUUUUAUUUCAAUAAAUGGCAAAGGUCUGCUUUAUUAUAAUGUAGAAUCAGGUACAAUGAAAAAACCGGAAAACUUGGAGAAUUUUACACUGCUAUGGUAUGCCUUUCCUUGUGUUUUGAAGAAUAUGGAGUUCUAAACAAUGACAGUUUUCUGAGUAAUUUUAUUUCAUUUAUCUUUU